CCAGUUGUAGAUUUCUAUGAAGAAAAAAGCUUCUUUGAGGAGUAAGAGCAGCAGCAAUACUUACCAGGCUGGGCCAGCCCACAAAUCAGAUUGCCAUAAUCUUUUAUUAAAUAAUCAAGUGAACCAGGCUUUCUAACAAGGUUUUCUGGUGGGUGAGUGACAGAGCAGGCACAGAAGUGGAGGUUAGAAGAACAGCUGAGAAGAGAGUUCUCUCCUUCACUACAGGACUUCAGGGAUUGAAUUAUGACUGUUGAGUUCUCUUACCCACCACUAAUUCCAGGAGAUGGCCAUGACAGCCACGCUGUACCUGAAGAGUGGAAGUACCUGCCUUCCCUUGCCUUACCAGAUGGUGCACAUAACUAUCAGGAAGAUACUGUGUUUUUUCACUUGCCACCCAGAAAUGGAAAUGGAGCCACAGUAUAUGGUAUCUCUUGUUAUCGACAAAUUGAAGCCAAGGCAUUAAAAGUAAGGCAAGCCGACAUCACCAGAGAAACUGUUCAGAAAAGUGUCUGUGUUUUAAGCAAGCUGCCUCUUUAUGGCUUACUUCAAGCAAAACUUCAACUUAUUACACAUGCAUAUUUUGAAGAGAAAGAUUUUUCCCAAAUUUCCAUUCUAAAGGAGCUCUAUGAGCAUAUGAACAGUUCCUUGGGAGGGGCCUCAUUAGAAGGAUCACAGGUGUAUCUUGGUCUGUCUCCUCGAGAUCUUGUCCUUCAUUUUCGACACAAGGUCUUGAUCCUGUUUAAGCUAAUUCUUCUUGAAAAGAAGGUGAGAUACAGAAGGGUAAAAGGAAGAACAGGUUAUUUAUUGGCAUUUUUACAUACUAUUGUAAUGUGGGAAUUAAUGAUUAAGUAUUAAAACAUAUUUUGUCUGUCAAGUGAAACACAAAA
rnacentral:lncRNA from 1 species